GUUUUUUGAGUGCACCAGUUGUUGCUGUGUACCCAGGUGUUAGUCUGAUCGUGGGCGUUAGGGUGGGGAGCUGUCCGGGCUUCGUUCAGUCCCGCUAGUGCUGUUUACGUGUCGGAAUUAUUCAGUUAUUGUUUGUGGCUCGUCUGGGUAUAGUAGGAUUAGUAUGUAUUGACCUGAGUUUUCUUUUUGUCGCGAGUCUGUGGUUCUGUCAUCAGAUGUCUUGUCUGUUCCUUCUGCGUAUCUGAACGGUUGUGGCAUGUCUCCUCACUAUUUAUCUCCUUCCCCUGUCCUAUGACGUCAUUGUGCGUGGGUUUUUUAACUUUCAUUUUAUCGUUUCGUAUUAGUCGUGUGUCUAGGUGUUGACAUGGGUGUAAAGGGUUGCGUUGUCAUGUUUCUAGCGUUUAAUGUGUUUGUUGUUGCGUCCGUGGUAGCUCAGCAUGCGUUGCUUGUGUGUAUAGCUGUUUUGUGUGCUCCUUGUCUGCGAUGUUCGUUAUGUGUCCUUUCU